GAUGAACGCUGGCGGCGUGCCUAAUACAUGCCAGUCGAGCGAACAGACGAGGAGCUUGCUCCUCUGACGUUAGCGGCGGACGGGUGAGUAACACGUGGAUAACCUACCUAUAAGACUGGGAUAACUUCGGGAAACCGGAGCUAAUACCGGAUAAUAUAUUGAACCGCAAGGUUCAAUAGUGAAAGACGGUUUUGCUGUCACUUAUAGAUGGAUCCGCGCCGCAUUAGCUAGUUGGUAAGGUAACGGCCUACCAAGGCAACGAUGCGUAGCCGACCUGAGAGGGUGUUCGCCCACACUGGAACGGGAACACGGUCCAGACUCCUACGGGAGGCGGCAGAAGGGAAUCUUCCGCAAUGGGGGAAAGCCUGACGGAGCAACGCCGCGUGAGUGAGAAAGGUCUUCGGAUCGUAAAACUCUGUUAUUAGGGAAAAACAAAUUUGUAAGUAACUAUGCACGUCUUGACGGUACCUAAUCAGAAAGCCACGGCUAACUACGUG
rnacentral:rRNA from 1 species